rnacentral:RNase_P_RNA from 1 species
CUGCUGUGGAGGUCUCCGUGACUGAAGCAGGAGAGGAAAGUCCGGGCUUCAUAGGGCAGGGUGCCAGGUAACGCCUGGGCGGUGAAAGCCGACGGAAAGUGCAGCAGAGAGUAGACCGCCUCAUUCGUGAGGUAAGGGUGAAAGGGUGCGGUAAGAGCGCACCGCGUGUCUGGUAACAGUUCACGGCAUGGCAAACCCCACCAGAAGCAAGACCAAAUAGGAAUCCUAGGUGCGGCCCGUACUGGAU